rnacentral:rRNA from 1 species
UACGUAGGAGACGAGCGUUGUCCGGAGUUACUGGGCGUAAAGCGUGCGUAGACGGUUACGUAAGUCGGAUGUGAAAUCCCCGGGCUCAACCUGGGAAUUGCAUUCGAGACUGUGUAGCUAGGGUGCGGAAGAGGGAAGCGGAAUUUCCGGUGUAGCGGUGAAAUGCGUAGAUAUCGGAAGGAACAUCAGUGGCGAAAGCGGCUUCCUGGUCCAGCACCGACGUUCAGGCACGAAAGCGUGGGGAGCAACAGG